CCCUUAGAUGUUCUGGGCCGCACGCGUGCUACACUGAGUGGAUCAGCGGGUCAGGUUGCGCGAAAGCGUUUCCUAAUCUUUAAAUCCGCUCGUGAUGGGGAUUGACGGUUGCAAUUUUCUGUCAUGAACGAGGAAUACCUUGUAAGCGCGGGUCAUCAUCCCGCGCUGAAUACGUCCCUGCCCUUUGUACACACCGCCCGUCGCUCCUACCAAUUGAGUGAUCCGGUGAAUAAUUCGGACUGCUGCAAUGCUUGGAUCCCGAGAAUUGCGGCGGAAAAGUUUAGUGAACCUUAUCACUUAGAGGAAGGAGAAGUCGUAACA
rnacentral:rRNA from 1 species